GGCCGGCCCUCAACCAACCGAGGCCCGACGCGGAGCAGGUGGCGCAGCGUCCGCGCCGCCUGAGCGGGAGGAGCAGGAGGCACGUGUGUGACACCAGUGGACGGCGUUUCUCGCUGCGAAACUGGGACCAAAGACUUCAUCCCAGCAUCAGCAAUGGUGAGACAUCUGAUGUCAGGAGCCGCCCUGAAGAGAGACCAUGAGAAGGACCCAUCACACCUCUUUAACUGAAGUCUAAUCAUGAGGGAGCAGGUAGUCCAACAACUGAAGACAAAGGGCUUGGACUCUGCAAGAUAUCAAGUCAGAAAAAAAAAGAAAAAAGGAGAAUCUAGAAAGACGUAAAUAGACUAUAUACUAAAUAGUAUUACCCUAUUAGUGUUAAAUUUCUUGGCUGUGACAAUGUAGUAUAGGAGAAGAAUGUCCUUGUGAAGAGAUUCUCAUUGGUAAAAACUUAGUUUCAAA